GAUGAAGAACGUAGCGAAAUGCGAUACGUAAUGUGAAUUGCAGAAUUCAGUGAAUCAUCGAAUCUUUGAACGCAUAUUGCGCUCUUUGGUAUUCCGAAGAGCAUGCUUGUUUGAGUAUCAGUAAACACCUCAAAGCUUUUGGAUUUUUUAAUCGAAAAGCUUUGGACUUGAGCAAUCCCAACACCAAUCUUUUUGAGAUCGGUGGCGGGUUGCUUGAAAUGCAGGUGCAGCUGGACAUUCUCCUGAGCUAAAAGCAUAUUCAUUUAGUCCCGUCAAACGGAUUAUUACUUUUGCUGCAGCUAACAUAAAGGGAGUUGGACCGUAUUGGCUGACUGAUGCAGGAUUUCACAAGGGUCGGCAACGAUUCUUGUUAAACUCGAUCUCAAAUCAAGUAAGACUACCCGCUGAACUUAAGCAUAUCAAUAAGCGGAGGA
rnacentral:misc_RNA from 1 species